AGUGAACGCUGGCGGUAGGCCUAACACAUGCAAGUCGAACGGCAGCACAGUAAGAGCUUGCUCUUACGGGUGGCGAGUGGCGGACGGGUGAGGAAUACAUCGGAAUCUACUUUUUCGUGGGGGAUAACGUAGGGAAACUUACGCUAAUACCGCAUACGGCCUACGGGUGAAAGCAGGGGAUCUUCGGACCUUGCGCGAUUGAAUGAGCCGAUGUCGGAUUAGCUAGUUGGCGGGGUAAAGGCCCACCAAGGCGACGAUCCGUAGCUGGUCUGAGAGGAUGAUCAGCCACACUGGAACUGAGACACGGUCCAGACUCCUACGGGAGGCAGCAGUGGGGAAUAUUGCACAAUGGGCGCAAGCCUGAUCCAGCCAUACCGCGUGGGUGAAGAAGGCCUUCGGGUUGUAAAGCCCUUUUGUUGGGAAAGAAAAGCAGCAAGUUAAUACCCCGCUGUUCUGACGGUACCCAAAGAAUAAGCACCGGCUAACUUCGUG
rnacentral:rRNA from 1 species